rnacentral:rRNA from 1 species
AACGAACGCUGGCGGCAGGCCUAACACAUGCAAGUCGAGCGAGGACUUCGGUUCUAGCGGCGGACGGGUGAGUAACGCGUGGGAAUGUGCCCUUCUCUACGGAAUAGCCCUGGGAAACUGGGAGUAAUACCGUAUACGCCCUAUUGGGGAAAGAUUUAUCGGAGAAGGAUCAGCCCGCGUUGGAUUAGGUAGUUGGUGGGGUAAUGGCCUACCAAGCCGACGAUCCAUAGCUGGUUUGAGAGGAUGAUCAGCCACACUGGGACUGAGACACGGCCCAGACUCCUACGGGAGGCAGCAGUGGGGAAUCUUAGACAAUGGGGGCAACCCUGAUCUAGCCAUGCCGCGUGAGUGAUGAAGGCCUUAGGGUUGUAAAGCUCUUUCAGCUGGGAAGAUAAUGACGGGACCAGCAGAAGAAGCCCCGGCGAACUCCGU